rnacentral:rRNA from 1 species
UAGUCCACGCCGUAAACGAUGGAUACUAGGUGUCCGGGAAGUUAACCUCCUGGGUACUACAGCUAACGCGUUAAGUAUCCCGCCUGGGGAGUACGGUCGCAAGGCUAAAACUCAAAGGAAUUGACGGGGGCCCGCACAAGCGGUGGAGUAUGUGGUUUAAUUCGAAGCAACGCGCAGAACCUUACCUACCCUUAACAUUUCACGCUCGCCUCAGAGAUGAGGUUUUCUCUUCGGAGACGUGCGGAUAGGUGCUGCAUGGCUGUCGUCAGCUCGUGUCGUAAGAUGUCUGGUUAAGUCCAAUAACGAGCGCAACCCUUAUCCUUAGUUACCAGCAUUGAGUUGGGGACUCUAGGGAGACUGCCGGUGUUAAACCGGAGGAAGGCGGGAAUGACGCCAAGUCCUCAUGACCCUAAUAAAUUGGGCUACUUCACGUGCUACAAUAGUUUUUCAAAAGAAGCAAAAAUGUAAGUUUUAGCAAAUCUUCAAAAAAUUGAAGUUCGGAUUGUUUUCUGAAAUUCGAAAACAUUAAGUUGGAAUUGCUAGUAAUCGUAAAUAG